rnacentral:rRNA from 1 species
UACAGAGGUCUCAAGCGUUGUUCGGAUUCAUUGGGCGUAAAGGGUGCGUAGGUGGCGUCGUAAGUCAGGUGUGAAAUCUCGGAGCUUAACUCCGAAACUGCAUUUGAUACUGCGGUGCUUGAGGACUGGAGAGGAGACUGGAAUUUACGGUGUAGCAGUGAAAUGCGUAGAGAUCGUAAGGAAGACCAGUGGCGAAGGCGAGUCCCUGGACAACACCUGACACUGAGGCACGAAAGCCGGGGGAGCAAACAGG